AUUGAACGCUGGCGGCAGGCCUAACACAUGCAAGUCGAACGAGUGGCGGACGGGUGAGUAAUGUCUGGGAACCUGCCUGAUGGCGGGGGAUAACUACUGGAAACGGUAGCUAAUACCGCAUACCCUCAGAUGUACCCAGAUGGGAUUAGCUUGUGGGUGGGGUAACGGCUCACCAAGGCGACGAUCCCUAGCUGGUCUGAGAGGAUGACAAGCCACACGGGAACUGAGAGACGGUCCAGACGCCGACGGGAGGCAGCAGUGGGGAAUAGUGGACAAGGGGCGCAAGCCUGAGGCAGCCAUGCCGCGUGUAUGAAGAAGGCCUUCGGGGUGUAAAGUACUUUCGGCGGGGAGGCGUUACCCGCAGAAGAAGCACCGGCUAACUCCGUGCCAGCAGCCGCGGUAAUAC
rnacentral:rRNA from 1 species